UCCUAUUUAAGGCUCAGCAUUCUGCUAUUUCUUCUUCUCUACACCUUGCCAUUUUUAGGCUACUAUGUUAAUUACCAUCUACUGCAAAUGGAAGCUUCUCUGGAACUGCAUCCAACAUUGUUCCAUGGAAGAAGCAGAGCCUUGACUCCUGGAUCAAGACAGCUUUCCACUUCUGGAACAAUCCUAGAAGGCCAAGUCUCCAAGAGCUGGGUGGUAACUCCUUCAGAAUGUCUGACAGUUUCAUCUAUGAAGCAGAAACCCUAAAGGAUCAUUCCGUCUUUUGAAAUGUUCAGCAGUCAUUUUUCUGUGAGUCCUGCAUGUCCAGUUUAUACAGCGUACCAUCAAGCAGUCCAGGCCAACUCUGCCCAUCACCAGCUCGAGCUUCUGUCCCUGUGCCCAGCGUGUACCUCCUGGGGAUGGCUGCUCUGGUGAAGAAGAACAGACUGCACAUUGGCCAGGAUUCAUCCUUUAGCUUCAGUGACUUGAUAGUCAACGAUGGCACUGAAUGAUGUGUGGCUGAAGAAGCAUUUAAAAAGGGAAGAAAUUGAAAGGUUCAGAGUGGAGUGUGCUAGCUUUCAGAUUUCUACAGAACAGCCUGGUUUUGCUAUCCACCAGAAGGUUGGAAGGAUACCCAUCAACAUGGUCAAAGGAAUAGUCUCCCCAUGGACGUUUGCAGCCUAAGCCUAAUGCUUGAGUUCUGUUUCUGCUAUACACUCAUCUCAAUCUUUUUCUUUGGGCUGGACAUGGCCAACAUCAAACUUUAAUCAGAAUAGCUGUGAUCAUUCCCACCAGACCGUCACAAAAAGGGGCUUAGAGGGGCGUGGCAAGAACUGGUUUCUUUAGUACUGUAUCGACCCAGUAAACUGUACAGCUCUACAGCUAGCUACCUAGAAGUUUCCCCACGUACUUUGGUAGGAGCCUUUUAGUCACCCAUGUUCCUAGAAGCAACCCCAACAAAGUCAUUGAUUCAGUUUGCUCAACUUUGACAGAAUCGCUUCUUUACAUCUGCUCAAGGAAAGUCAGACAACAAUGAGACUGGAAAUUGGCCAUCAAUUAAAAAGCAUUUGCUACCAAGCUCCUAGAAUCAGACAGAUGGAUCCUUCUCAUGAGCUCACUGUCUCGUGGAGCAUUGUCUUUCAUGGUAGUACACAACUUUGCAUAGAUUUCAAAAAUGACUCUUGAUGCAAAUGUUAGUCCCAAGCACCUUGCUAUCUGUCUUGCUAGCACCACUUCCAAACAGCUGAAUACCCAGGCAAGCACUGGAGUUAUAGCAGCUACCAUGUUCCCUGCUGUGAGCCAUUUUACAUUUUAUGAAUGUGCCCAGUUAUUGGAUACAAUUAUCAGCAUCUAUUAUUAACUCCCUAGUUUUAUGCUUAUACAAACUUUUAUUGAGCCCUUUAAAUUUUUACAUAUAGAUACUGAAACUUGGCAAGACUGACUAGCCUGCCUCAAAAUCAUAUGGCUAGUUGGUGAUAGGUCCAAGAUUUAAAAUACAUCUGCCUGGAGCAAGAAAGCCUGAUGAUCCUUUUGAGACAAGAACUGUAUUUAAAUCCAGAGCUCCAGAUUGAAGGGGUCUGGGCUAGAAUGUAGACCUGUAAGACUCUCUUCCUGAAGGUCUAGAGUUGAAUAUUAGACUAGAUAAAUGAACAUGCAACAUGAAUCUUUAAAAAAGGGACUGCCCUCUGUUUUAUGUUCCAUGGUAGCCUUCUUGACAUCUUUAACAAUCAUUAAACAAUGAGCCAAGCAU